rnacentral:sRNA from 1 species
GGGGUGGGGGGGGAUGUCAUUGCUUGUGCUGGGACCACUGUGCCCCCUAACUGUGACCAGCUGCUUCAGGCUGCUUCUGCUUUCACCCACUGCCGUGAUGGUGUGAGAUGGCCUCAGAAGCCAGGAGAGUGCUGGGCUCCUUGGAAGUGGAAUAAAGAAGCUAUGACCCACCGUAUGGAUUUCAGUGCUCCUGUCUUCCGUCGGUGAACUCCCCACACAGGGCCUCCCAGGAAGAGUGCAGCCUGGAGAGACUGCUGCUCAGAAGCCGAGGAAGGAAGUGGCGAUAUUCCAUUGGACAGGAUGAGUCACAUGGGCCUAACCACCGAAGAGUCAGGGACCAGAAUUUCCACGGACUCUAAUUCUAGGUCCUGAAAGGUAAGGAAAACUGGACAUUGGAGAGAUUGUGACUCGAUGACGCUUGAUAAAAGAAACUUUAGGGAGAAAUGACUCAGCAGUACGAGCGUGGACCUCUCUUGCUUAAGACCCAAGUUCAGUUCCCUGCACCCAAGUCUGCUCACAACCAAGCCUAACUCCAGUUCCAGGACCCAGGGCGCCCUCCUUCUACCCGCUGAAGGCACCAGGCCCAGAUGUGCUGCACAGAUGCACAAGCAGAACUCUCCGGACACCGAAGUGUGCUGUCUCAGGACACCAAGGGGAUGUGACAAUCAGUUCUGACGCCAUCUACCUAAAGUCGAAGAUGAAAAUAACACCCAAUUAAUGAAACCUAUUAAAUGAGUAGCUAUAUACAGGUUUUUAUUACAGCAUCCCACCAAUAAAUGCUCUACCAAUGACUAUACUUUGACUGCUAAA